rnacentral:rRNA from 1 species
GUUUAAGGCGCAUACCCCCGAGACGCGCCGAAUCUGGUGGGAUCUCGGGAAGCUAAGCAGGGUCGGGCCCUGGGUUAGUACUUGGAUGGGAGGACGCCCUGAGAAUACCGGGUGCUGUAGGCU